rnacentral:rRNA from 1 species
UUGUGCCUACGGGAGGCAGCAGUGGGGAAUCUUCCGCAAUGGGCGAAAGCCUGACGGAGCAACGCCGCGUGAUCGAAUGAAGGCCUUCGGGUUGUAAAGAUCUGUUGAUAGGGACGAAUAAGCAAUGCGAAUAGUUUUGUGUAUGACGGUACCUGUUUAGAAAGCUCCGGCUAACUACGUGCCAGCAGCCGCGGUAAUACGUAGGGAGCAAGCGCUGUCCGGAAUUACUGGGCGUAA